rnacentral:rRNA from 1 species
AGAUUGAACGCUGGCGGCAGGCCUAACACAUACAAGUCGAGCGGUAGAGAGGUGCUUGCACCUCUUGAGAGCGGCGGACGGGUGAGUAAAGCCUAGGAAUCUGCCUGGUAGUGGGGGAUAACGCUCGGAAACGGACGCUAAUACCGCAUACGUCCUACGGGAGAAAGCAGGGGACCUUCGGGCCUUGCGCUAUCAGAUGAGCCUAGGUCGGAUUAGCUAGUUGGUGAGGUAAUGGCUCACCAAGGCGACGAUCCGUAACUGGUCUGAGAGGAUGAUCAGUCACACUGGAACUGAGACACGGUCCAGACUCCUACGGGAGGCAGCAGUGGGGGAAUAUUGGACAAGUGGGCGAAAG